rnacentral:rRNA from 1 species
CCUACGGGUGGCUGCAGUGGGGAAUAUUGGACAAUGGGGGCAACCCUGAUCCAGCCAUGCCGCGUGUGUGAAGAAGGCCCUCGGGUUGUAAAGCACUUUCAGUGAGGAAGAACGCCUGGUGGUUAAUACCCAUCAGGAAAGACAUCACUCACAGAAGAAGCACCGGCUAACUCCGUGCCAGCAGCCGCGGUAAUACGGAGGGUGCGAGCGUUAAUCGGAAUUACUGGGCGUAAAGCGCGCGUAGGUGGCUUGAUAAGUCGGUUGUGAAAGCCCCGGGCUCAACCUGGGAACGGCAUCCGGAACUGUCAAGCUAGAGUGCAGGAGAGGAAGGUAGAAUUCCCGGUGUAGCGGUGAAAUGCGUAGAGAUCGGGAGGAAUACCAGUGGCGAAGGCGGCCUUCUGGACUGACACUGACACUGAGGUGCGAAAGCGUGGGUAGCAAACAGGAUUAGAUACCCGAGUAGUC